GUAAGGAAGGAGGUGGUAGCAAAGAAACCUUUAGGUUGAAAAGACAAAAAAAAAACAAAAGAACCCACCAUGGAAGUUUCAACCCACCACCACCACAUGGUGCCAAAGACUUCAAAACGGAACAUUUCUUAUAUUGGCACCUAUUUUUGUGAGAACAAACAUAUGGUUGUGAGCAUAUUCUUACCUUCAUUGUGAUCUGCAUAUUUCCUCUCUGCAGGAAACUUUAAAUGCACUGUUGACAUCUUUUUAUAGUCACAUAAAAAGAAAGCAGACAAAGAAAUGUUAUGAUUGGACUUAUUCAUGAGAUAUCACAGACUCUAAUUGAUCAAACUUCUCAUAUUCGCACUACUGGUGAAUCUCUAGUUGCACACCCACCUCUGUGGUCUCAUUGUUGGCUGCUUAGGAUAGCUUACAAAUAAAAACAGACAAUACUGUCCAUUAGCCAGCACAGGCUCACAACUCAAUUUCUACUCCAUUCCAAAGGAACCAUGUAGAGAAAGAUGGAUGGUUCAGGGUUUGGAGUUCUCCAGCUAACCACGUAUUAACUUUGUUAUCACCACCCAUAUUAUCACCUGGCAGAGAAACAGACUUGAUGGAUUUGGGCUUUAGUUCUGACUUCACCACAAGUAAAUAAUGUCAUUUUGGAUGCUAA